rnacentral:rRNA from 1 species
AACGAACGCUGGCGGCAUGCCUAACACAUGCAAGUCGAACGAGACCUUCGGGUCUAGUGGCGCACGGGUGCGUAACGCGUGGGAACCUGCCCUUAGGUUCGGCAUAACUCCCCGAAAGGGGUGCUAAUACCGGAUAAUGUCUUCGGACCAAAGAUUUAUCGCCUUUGGAUGGGCCCGCGUUGGAUUAGCUAGUUGGUAGGGUAAAAGCCUACCAAGGCGACGAUCCAUAGCUGGGCUGAGAGGAUGAUCAGCCACACUGAGACUGAGACACGGCCCAGACUCCUACGGGAGGCAGCAGUGGGGAAUAUUGGACAACGGGCGAAAGCAUGAUGCAGCAAUGCCGCGUGAGUGAUGAAGGCCUUAGGGUUGUAAAGCUCUUUUACCCGGGAUGAUAAUGACAGUACCGGGAGAAUAAGCCCCGGCUAACUCCGUG